UUUGUCGUUCACAUGCAGAGAAGUAUGUUCGUUCUGAGACUAUAAAUAUUUACAUGUUUGUUUUGUGUCCUAUUCCUUUGCCAACUGAGUGCAAGAUCAGUAAAUGUUCACCUGCAAUCAGAAGCUGUGGCAGCUCAUCCUAAAUCUCACAACAAGAUACAAAUAUUGCCAAUUACCCUUGGAGAUACUUGGGCUAAACCUCUUAAGCACUUGUGACUUCUGUGUGUUGCAAUUGUAAAAGUUUUUGGUUGUCUUGCAUGGUUCAG
rnacentral:misc_RNA from 1 species